CGGCCGUGGCGGCAGCUACACAUGCAGUCGAACGGUAACAGGAAGCAGCUUGCUGCUUCGCUGACGAGUGGCGGACGGGUGAGUAAUGUCUGGGAAACUGCCUGAUGGAGGGGGAUAACUACUGGAACGGUAGCUAAUACCGCAUAACGUCGCAAGACCAAAGAGGGGGACCUUCGGGCCUCUUGCCAUCGGAUGUGCCCAGAUGGGAUUAGCUAGUAGGUGGGGUAACGGCUCACCUAGGCGACGAUCCCUAGUGGUCUGAGAGGAUGACCAGCCACACUGGAACUGAGACACGGUCCAGACUCCUACGGGAGGCAGCAGUGGGGAAUAUUGCACAAUGGGCGCAAGCCUGAUGCAGCCAUGCCGCGUGUAUGAAGAAGGCUUCGGGUUGUAAAGUACUUUCAGCGGGGAGGAAGGCGACAGGGUUAAUAACCCUGUCGAUUGACGUUACCCGCAGAAGAAGCACCGGCUAACUCCGUGCCAGCAGCCGCGGUAAUACGGAGGGUGCAGCGUUAAUCGGAAUUACUGGGCGUAAAGCGCACGCAGGCGGUCUGUCAAGUCGGAUGUGAAAUCCCCGGGCUCAACCUGGGAACUGCAUUCGAAACUGGCAGGCUAGAGUCUUGUAGAGGGGGGUAAAUUCCAGGUGUAGCGGUGAAAUGCGUAGAGAUCUGGAGGAAUACCGGUGGCGAAGGCGGCCCCCUGGACAAAGACUGACGCUCAGGUGCGAAAGCGUGGGGAGCAAACAGGAUUAGAUACCCUGGUGUCCACGCCGUAAACGAUGUCGACUUGGAGGUUGUGCCCUUGAGGCGUGGCUUCCGGAGCUAACGCGUUAAGUCGACCGCCUGGGGAGUACGGCCGCAAGGUUAAAACUCAAAUGAAUUGACGGGGGCCGCACAAGCGGUGGAGCAUGUGGUUUAAUUCGAUGCAACGCGAAGAACCUUACCUACUCUUGACAUCCAGAGAACUUU
rnacentral:rRNA from 1 species